rnacentral:lncRNA from 1 species
GGUAAUUUCAGAAAUAUUGAAGAACCAAUUAGACAUGAGAAGGAUAGGAAGACCAAGGGCAAACUUGUAAAUAUAAUUAUUAUUCAAGGAUAAAAUAAUAAUAAUAUCAAAGGACUGAUUUUUACUUGUAAUUCCUUUCGGUUCUAGAUCGUUUCAUUAUCUCUUUCCUUCUGUCUCUUCCAGUUUAAAAGAGAGAAUGAGACUGUAUGAUUCUUCCACAUCAGGCAAAGAAGAGCACAAAAAUUGUAUUACAAUUGAUGAUUCUUUCACAUCGGUUAGUUCUUAAUCAUUUUUAUUUCGAAUUUUCUCUACUUAUUUCUUUAGGCUUUUAAAUUCUAAAUCGUGUCUCGCUUAAAAUUUUAGGGAAUUCUCUCAGUCCUAACAUGAAGCAAAGAACUUCAAUUAUGGAAAUCUUUGCUUUUUGGUAACAACUUCAUCAACCUACCACACCAGGAGAUUAAGAGCAUAAUGACUUAAUUGGUAUGAUCAUUCUUCUAAUUUUUAUUUUUGAGUUGUAGCAAGAUUUAAAAUUUAAUGGAGCAUGCGUAUGUGGUUUUUCUGUUGAAAGAUUUCUGAUGUCCACCAGGUGUUUGGAAAAAUGUCUUAGCUAGAAAAAAAUCUACUUUGUUCAGCCUACUCCUUUUAACUUUUGUAUAGACCUGUGAAUGUUUUUGCCAUUCUCCUCAACAGGAGGUGUGCUUAUGUGAUACAAAGAAACAAAUAAGUAAGACUUACAAUUGUGUGGUCUUAUUCUCCUCGGAAUCAACAGAUGCUUACAUCAGAAAAGGAACACUUAUAUCUUCUUAUUUUCUGCGGGUUUGAAUUACCUUACACUUUUCGUUUGUGUUUUUGAUUAAUAUAAUUUGUUGUUGUUUCAUGGUUGAUUACUCCAUCUGUUUCGUAGUAGGACCUUCACCUUACAAGUGCUCGAUAAAGACCUUCAACAACUUAAUUUUUUUGUUCUAUAAAUAUUUAAAAUUAUGGACUCAACUUUUCAAUACAAUAUUGAGAAACCCAAUCAACGUCAAUUCCACUUUUCUUACAAAACAACGAAAAAUCAUAGUUGUAGACUUGAGAUUUUGGCCAAUUGCUUACCCUUUGGUUAUUUAUCCAGAAAAUUAUACAUAUGUAGUGUAGUAAAUAUAUUUUCCUAUAGAACUUUUCCCUGCAUUAAAAUUAUGUCCUUUUUGCUUCUAAAAAUGACCCAGACAAAUUAUCUUUCCUACUAACCAUGGUAGACAAUCAUAACUCUGAUAUUUUAAGUUUCCAUGUGCCAUUUGUUGUGACCAAAAUGCGCAACUGGACAAGUUCUGCUUGCAAAUAUUUAGUUGUAACUUAGUUUAUUAAUUUCCUCCAAUAUCAGCUCUUCUUACAAUAUUAUUAUCAUGGAUGAACGUAGUAUUUCCAAAAUGGAAUAGAGGUAUACUAUCGACGCAAUUACGCCACUAACUACGAAGUGGACGUGCAAAAUAAUGUUUUUCCUUCUACGUUUUGUUGCUAUGCUAAAAAAAGAGAACUCUUAUUUUUAUAGGUGUGUGCACUUUCUGUUAUAUCUGUUACUAUAUGAAAAUGUAAAGUUGUGUUACUUCCAAAAUCAUAUUAAAUAAGGAAAGGAAAGUAAGAUAAGCCUUCGAAAAAGAACUUUUCAACUAAUCUUAACAAAAAUAAAAUAAAAUCGGAUACUCAUAGUCAAUGGAACUUUUAGAAUGUAUUGGCUGUUAAAAGUUCGAUACUCUUUCAUCUGUGAUAGUUCCAUGCCUUAGCCUCUUCAAAAAAAAAACAUUUCUCAUGCUUAUUAUCGGUUGAAUAUUUUUCAUAUUGAGAUUAUAUAUAUGUAGUACAUGGAGCAGCUACAAAAACUUAUAUUUUAUGACGAAAGUGUUUGCUUUGUAGCGUAUCCUCCUCCAAGAAUAUGAACUUGUAUAGCAUCAUCUCAUUAAUCACAUAUCCAAUUUGAUCUCCUUAGUGUGCCUCUUGCAACUGAAAAUAGUAAACUACCGCCAUAUUCAUAGGGAAUCAGUGUAGUCAAAUAUGUAGCAAAAGUAAACUCUUUCCAUGUAGUUUUUGACUUUUUUUUUUGUUCUUUUCUGGUGGAGAUCUUUGUCUGAUACUUAUUUUUACCUAAUUUAACAGGCUUAUAAAAUAAUAUCAUGUGGUUUUAUCUGCUUUCGCUUACGCCGUUGUCGAUUACGUUUCUCAUGUUUUCUGUUGGAUAUCUAUUAAGAUUGCGAGACUAUAUAUACAAGGACUAUCCUUAGUUGAUUAAUAUUCUUCACUUAAGUGGUCAGGCCCGUGCUAGAGAUUGAUUACUAGCCUAAGUUUAGAGUGCUUCCUCUGAAGAAGAGGACCAGAUUUUUACUGAGACAAUCUGAUUAAACGUUAGACUUCAAAUAAGAAAGCUUUAAAACUCUUAUAUGAAUCAUUUUGUAUGUAACAUUAGAAAAAAUGUUUCUACUUUAAGCUUUGACAUGAAAAUUCUUUGUUUGUUGAUUCUUGGUAGAGCGGUAAUGUAAACCCUUGAAAGUUAAACUUGUGAAAGAAACUGAUGGCUAAAGAUGGUAACAGAACUUCCAGUCACAAAGAUAAGCUCUCCUUUAUAGAAUGUAAAAGCUCCUAAAAUUUAUUUAAAUUUGGAAAGAUAUCUCCUACCAAAACUUAGCAUGCUAUUACUCAUUAAACUUUUUCGGAUUUAUAAAAAUAUCUUUUUAAACUUUGUUGUAACAUGCCUACUUGACUGUAGCUUCUCCCUUAAAUUAGCAAGUAGUUUUUUCUUUGUUUUGAAUUGUACUUGGUGUGAAUUAACCAGUAGCUACUGCUACUGAAGAUGAGAUGUUCCUACUUCUGUUCUUCAGAGUGAUGUUUGUUUGUCUUUCUACAUAGAUGUUGAGACGGAAUUAUGUUUCAAGGACCUUUUUUGUGGAAUCUGUAAUGUCCAAUUAAUUGAUCUAUUGCAUUCUGUUACAGAUAUAAGUCUAAAGAAGCAAUUGAGAUUUUAUAAGUGCAGGGCCCUCAAUUUUUUUAUUUUAAUAGUGGCUUGCCGACUAUUUGGCCUAUUAACCUUUUAACUAUUAAGUUGUGUCUAAUUUCAUUUUAGAGAUAGACCUAUUCUUCUUUACUUCAUCAAAAGAAGAGAUAUUAGUUACUUCGUGAAAGAUUUGAUCAUUCAUGAAUUGGCUUACUUAUAUUUUUCUUCAUUUUUUUAGGCAGUGGAACAGUUCUUUCAGCAUUACUCAGUCAAGAGGAGUCAUUUUGAAAUGGUGAAUAAGAUCAUGCAUGUAGUUUUGAGGCUGCAUGAGGAUACAACACAAGGGUGGCAAUAUUUUUGAAAGGUUUGAGGGCGGCAAGAUAAAUUUUAGAAUAACCAGUACCUUUGACAUCAAAAUUGAUGCUAAAUCACUUUUUGGUCCUUGAUUAACUCUUAUUCAUGUUAUGUUGAAUUUUCUACGAGGCGUUCAUGAUAAACUUCUAUUUUGGACAAGGGUCAAACCACACAGGUGUUCCAAUAAAGUCGCUUACCAUUAAUUGUUCUAUAACUAUGAACAUACAUAGAAAUGAAAAGAGAUGGAAGAAUUAUGAUUUAAAGGUACAGUUCUUUUGGUGCACUAUUUUUACUUGCAUG